UACCGGAGGCAGCAGUGGGGAAUUUUGGACAAGGGGCGAAAGCCUGAUCCAGCCAUGCCGCGUGGGUGAAGAAGGCAUUCGGGUGUAAAGCUAUUUAUCUGGGAAGAGGAAGAAACAUUUAAUACCUUGGGGGAAGACGGACCGGAAGAAUAAGCACCGGCUAA
rnacentral:rRNA from 1 species